CAUAGCAGACCCCAGACAUAGCAGAUUGGAUGAACUUAGUCUCAAGACUCUCGACUCUGGCUGCCGCUGUCUGUCUUUCACUCUCUCUAGACCCGUUCGUGGUUGUCGCUCCUAGCCUCCCGCUACCUUGCAUUCCUUUCCGUCGGCCGUCGCUCCCUCUAAAGCUUGCCGUGUGGCCUUGGCUAGUGUCUGUCUCUCACUCAGUCACUCUCUCUCGAGUCUCGGCAAUCGGCCCUAUGGGCUGUGGCUGUCGAUGUCCAGCUUCGGCUGCUGCUCUUGGAAGAGAUAAGGAGAAAAGCCUGCAAAUGUGUACUCGGGAAUAACUUCUAGAUAAGGCCAAUUUCCAUUCCAUAAUGGAUAUUGAGCGAGAUCUCUUUAGUAGGUAUCCUCUCCCAAUAAAAACGAGCAACGAGGUGAAGGAGAAAGAGCAGCAAAGUAAACAUUUUUGGCAAAUAAAACAAAAAUGAACUAAUAUAUACAUCUUUUCAGGCCAAAUGUCUAUCUAAAUAAAGUAUGCAAUGAGAAAAGGGGUGUACUGCAGUGGCUAACGCCCUCACCUGAUAACCUAGAGGUUUCAAGCUCGAUUAUCAUCAGUGGGACUACCCGUGCCCCUUUAUUUAGAUUUCCUUUCCAUUUCCUUGUACCAUGAGCCUCAUAUUGUAACAAAAAAAAAGGUAUGCAACAAAUGAGAUAUAACCUUCCUGCAUGUUUUCAGGAGUUUGAUGUUGUAUCUCUGAAUGAAUUAAGAGUUUACCUUUCUCACAGAAUUUGAUAAUUUCACCACCGUUAUGCUUCUUAGUUCUGAA